GAUGAAGAACGUAGUGAAAUGCGAUAAGUAAUGUGAAUUGCAGAGUUCAGUGAAUCAUCGAAUCUUUGAACGCACAUUGCGCCCGCCAGUAUUCUGGCGGGCAUGCCUGUUCGAGCGUCAUUUCAACCCUCAAGCACAGCUUGGUGUUGGGACUCGCGUUAAUUCGCGUUCCCCAAAUUGAUUGGCGGUCACGUCGAGCUUCCAUAGCGUAGUAGUAAAACCCUCGUUACUGGUAAUCGUCGCGGCCACGCCGUUAAACCCCAACUUCUGAAUGUUGACCUCGGAUCAGGUAGGAAUACCCGCUGAACUUAAGCAUAUCAAUAAGCGGAGGA
rnacentral:misc_RNA from 1 species